rnacentral:rRNA from 1 species
UACGAAGGGUGCAAACGUUGCUCGGAAUUAUUGGGCGUAAAGCGCGCGCAGGCGGCCUUUUAAGUCUGAUGUGAAAUCUUGCGGCUCAACCGCAAGCGGUCAUUGGAAACUGGGAGGCUUGAGUACAGAAGAGGAGAGUGGAAUUCCACGUGUAGCGGUGAAAUGCGUAGAUAUGUGGAGGAACACCAGUGGCGAAGGCGACUCUCUGGUCUGUAACUGACGCUGAGGCGCGAAAGCGUGGGGAGCAAACAGG